GCUGGGUGUGGUGGCGGGCACCUGUAAUCCCAGCUACUCAGGAGGCUGAGGCAGGAGAAUUGCUUGAACCCAGGAGGCAGAGGUUGCAGUGAGCCGAGAUCAUGCCACUGCACUCCAGCCUGGGUGACAGAGAGAGACUCUGUCUCAA
rnacentral:sRNA from 1 species